CAUCAUCUUCUGCUGCCUACUUCUAGAAGACACUAAGACAUUAAAAUGAAGGUUCUCAUUUUGAUUGCUGUCAUCUUGACUUUCACUGCUUGUUUUUCGUCAGCUGAUGCACAUAAGCAAAAAAACUCCAGGUCUAGUGAAAGCUCCGAAGAAUAUUUUAAACUACCUAAACAGUUAAGGUCUAAGCUGUCAAGAAGAUAUUCUGCAAAAUUCCAACGAGCUCCUGGAAGUCCAUGUGGUCACUCUGUUCGUCAUGAACCCCCCAGAGGCCACCAUCUCCUCCACCUCCCUCACCAUCCUCACAUCCCACAUGAACCGUCACCCAGACCUACAUUGCCACCUGAGAACACUGUCUAUCCUAGUUCUCAAGCACCAUCAGCCCCUUUUAGGGCUCCUCCAACCAUAAUUUACACCACUGCCACUGUGCUGCCACCACCACUGCUUUCACUGUCUCUGCCCAAAACACUGAGAGUGUUGCAUCCAGCACUAACAGCUUCCAGUGCCCUCCAACCUGAGGACAUCACCAAUGCCCUUGAAGCUGACACUACUACCCCUGCCCCAGUAGCUGACACUACUACCCCUGCCCCAGUAGCUGACACUACUGCUGUCUAUCAGCAACAAGAGCCUCAGUGA
rnacentral:lncRNA from 12 species